GCCAUAAAGAAGAAAGCAAGAGCACUCGGUAGUGUGCAGAUGUUACCAGGAUGUGACUUCAGCACAACCUCACAUCCUCGCGGAGAGACAAAACGGCAGAUGUUUAAUACAUUACAGGAACUAACCGCAAAUUGUUUUGCUUCUCUGCUUUAUAAUGUUUAUUUUAUUUUAUUUUUUUGAAGAUGUGAAUCACACUUUUGAAGAACUUCCUCCAACCGUAAUCAUUUUGGAGCCAACAGGAUCUUGCCCUUUAGGGCCUUUACACCAAACAGCUCUACGUUGUUUGGAUCACAUGAACUGAAGAUUAUGGAACAAAAACAGAAAAGAGUAAAAGCAGUGCCCAACAGAAGAUAUUAAACAAAUGUUUGUAGCAGGAAGAAUUCUCUCCAAUGAUGAUUGAAAAGAAAAGCCACCUAUAUCCUCUUGCUUAGUUUCCCUUGAGAAAAAUAAGCAAAGUGUGCUGUGUAGACUUGUAACCAUGGCACAGAUUUCCUGUGUAAUGUUCACAGCUUUGGCAAGGUAAUUAUUAUUGCAACACAACUUCUGGUAAAAUGUGUGGAAGAAUGGAAAUUACACAACUAGCUUUUAUGUAUUGACUCAGAUAUGACUGGAUCAGUUUAAGAAGGGAAAUUAAUGUAGAUUUUCAUUUAUUCCUCAAUUAACAUUUAUUGAGCACUGCUUUGUGCUACUUACCUAAGGAUAGAAAUAUGAUUAAUGUAUGGCUUCAGUGCUCAAAGACUUAAUAGUCUGGUGUGUUUGGUUGGACUGGUAGUAGCAAUAGGUGGAUAGUGGUGAUGACUGGUGAUGAUAAUUGUUGGGAAGCAAAUAUAUUGCCUGGGAUCUGUAUAUAUGCAUAACAUGGGAAAUACACACUAGUUUAAUUUCUUAAACUAUUUCAUCUAUUACCAAAGAUUUGCUUAAACAUGAUAUUGUUUAAUUAUUGAUGCCUAUCACUCUUAAAUCUCAUUUACAUUUUAA